UUAAGAAGUGAAGAAUCCCCACAGAGAACCAUUCAUCCUGUACAUACAUAUCUUAGCAUCCAACCAAACAAUCCAUAUACAAAACAGCAAUUCUUUUUCUGCAGAUCACAACUUCAAAAUAUGCCAAAUCUCAAAACGUAAUCUCAAAUUCAUAUAGAAGAAUAGCCUCCAUAUUUAUUUGCUUUUCCAUAGCAAGAAAUUGAAAAUGUAAUCUCAAAAUUCAAGAGUAUGUACUUAUAUUUUCUACACGAUUCACAAAUUAAUAGUAGGAUUGAUUGGCAUACCUUGAAGACAACUUGAAGAGCUCAAAAUUUUUAGUCGAUUCAGCCAAAAAAUUUUUGACCCAAGAUGAAUACAAUGUGCAGGACGAAGAAUUAUAUCACAACCAAUCAUGGCAAUUGUGGCUAAAUAAUUUCCCUCUUGAAAAAUCGACCGCAAGUUUCUUGCAAAAUCAACUCCAAUCGUGGCAAUCCUUGCUGAAUAAAAUUUCUUGCAAAUCCAAGAGAAAGAAUUAUAUCACACCCAAGAAAUUUGGAUGGUGGGAAAAUUGGAAUUAGGUUUGUGCGAUUAAACUAAAGCAGCCAAAUUGAAGAGGGAAUUACUUGGUGAAAAGUUUUGGAGGCAAGGAGGCCCAAGAGAAAUGUGGGUUUAUUUCUGAAGAAUUGGGAAACAUUA
rnacentral:lncRNA from 1 species